UACGUAGGGUGCGAGCGUUAAUCGGAAUUACUGGGCGUAAAGCGUGCGCAGGCGGCGGCUCAAGUCAGGUGUGAAAUCCCCGGGCUUAACCUGGGAAUUGCGCUUGAAACUAGGUCGCUAGAGUGUGGCAGUGGGGGGUGGAAUUCCACGUGUAGCAGUGAAAUGCGUAGAGAUGUGGAGGAACACCGAUGGCGAAGGCAGCCCCCUGGGUCAACACUGACGCUCAUGCACGAAAGCGUGGGGAGCAAACAGG
rnacentral:rRNA from 1 species